rnacentral:rRNA from 1 species
UGAGUAAUGCGUGACCGACCUGCCCCAUGCACCGGAAUAGCUCCUGGAAACGGGUGGUAAUGCCGGAUGUUCCACAUGAGCGCAUGCGAGUGUGGGAAAGGCUUUUUGCGGCAUGGGAUGGGGUCGCGUCCUAUCAGCUUGUUGGUGGGGUAACGGCCUACCAAGGCGUUGACGGGUAGCCGGCCUGAGAGGGCGACCGGCCACAUUGGGACUGAGAUACGGCCCAGACUCCUACGGGAGGCAGCAGUGGGGAAUAUUGCACAAUGGGCGCAAGCCUGAUGCAGCGACGCCGCGUGCGGGAUGGAGGCCUUCGGGUUGUAAACCGCUUUUGUUCAAGGGCAAGGCACGGUUUCGGCCGUGUUGAGUGGAUUGUUCGAAUAAGCACCGGCUAACUACGUGCCAGCAGCCGCGGUAAUACGUAGGGUGCAAGCGUUAUCCGGAUUUAUUGGGCGUAAAGGGCUCGUAGGCGGUUCGUCGCGUCCGGUGUGAAAGUCCAUCGCUUAACGGUGGAUCCGCGCCGGGUACGGGCGGGCUUGAGUGCGGUAGGGGAGACUGGAAUUCCCGGUGUAACGGUGGAAUGUGUAGAUAUCGGGAAGAACACCAAUGGCGAAGGCAGGU